rnacentral:lncRNA from 1 species
GUUUCUAAAAAGGAUGUAAUUGAAUAAAUAUUCAAUUACAUACACAUUUUAUUACACAUCCGCAAUAUAAUAGUAGUUGCAUGCAUGAAGAAACUAUAAGGAGGUCUCGUCGGCAACACUAUACAGAAGGGGCGAGUGAAAAGUACGAGUGAGAGGGCUCUCGCUGCAAGUGUGAGGGCAACGACAAUGGAUUAUGAAGAAAAAAUUUCGUCCGCAACCAACCUUCCGCGUCGACAAGCUAACGAGCACUGAUCAAAGGCAGAACCAGCGAGUAACUCUGCCACCGACGAGGCCUCCUUAUAGUUUCUUUAUGGUUGCAUGCAUAUAUCAUUGUCUUCCGCUUACGUCUUCAUUCAUAAACAAUGAAGAAAUUCUUUGCGAUUUGUCAAAGCGAUCCGUUCGCACGAACUUUGCUCUACUCAGAAAUGCCACGUUAUUACACUUGGAACGCUACGUCGAAGAAAUUUCAACGUCGGAAGCAAGGCGAUGCAGUUCCUUGUCAUCCAGGUAUGCGUUCUACUGAUGCUCUUGGUCGUAUUGACACAGUUCAUCCGAAGAAUGAUUAAUGUUUCUAUUUGCGGUUGUUGCUGGUACAUGUUC